CUUUCCUUCUUUCCUUCUUUCCACUCCCCUUUCUCUCUCCUUUUUCUCCCACCUUUCUAAUCCUCCCGAGCCCCUCCUUCAGUCCUUUCUUCUAUCCCCCCCAUCCUAACUGUCCACCCCACAGCAGUCUGUGCAAACACCAAUACUGAAGCACAAGGUUUCCACGCCUGCAGAAGGAGAACGACUGAACCAUUUCUCAGAGCACAAAGCAGCACCAGAACCCCCAGCACACCAGAGGAGAAGGAUCCCAACAAGGAUUUCAUGAUGCGCUUCCAGGGCCCGGCAAACUGUUGGAUCGGGCUGCACAGGGAAGAAGAGGACGCGCAGUGGACGUGG
rnacentral:lncRNA from 7 species